CUGUCAAAAUCCACUUUGAAUGGAAAUCCUGGACAAACCGUUACACGCCAAUCACAGAUGGUGGUAUUGCGCACUUCCCACCAACCUGGACUCCGCACUUUUAAAGUGCGAGUGAUCUCAAAACUGCGAGCUGUCAAAAACAUGUAUUUCAAGUGAUAGAGAUGGUAUUUUCAUAGACAGACCAGUCGAACUAACCGGUCUACGAGAAGAAUUUAAUGGAAAAAUGCUGGAAACUGGAUAUGGAUACAAUAAACAAAUGCUUUCAGAUGUUUAUGUUUGCGAAAUGCCUUCGGAUUUCAAGGAAAGUUCAGCCAUUAGAGAAACCAGCUUGGAUCAGACGCCCCGGACCCAAACUUGUAAUUAGGUUUCUAUUGAAGGACAUAUGAGUUGUUUUGUGAAGUGGAUGUUGAUGAAUAUAAAAAAAUGUUUCAAA